UGUGAUUGAAAAUUACCCUGUUUUUGGUCAUGGCAGUAACUCUUGGUGAUAUUUGGCACCCAGAACCAGUGGGGUCUCAGUUUACUCACUUUUCAGUAUGGAAAUGUAAAACUCAGUUCCUGAUACAC